UUUUAACCUCACAGCCUGUCUUCCUUCCCCCCGUCUUUCUGUAUACCUGUCUCUCUCUCUCUCUCUCUCUCUCUCCGGCAUAGAGAAAAAAAAUGAAACUUGCCCGACUCACUCACUAGUCCCUAAAACCACACCAAUGCCUAGAAAUUGAACAAGAACUUCAGAAUCUACAGACCCAUUCCCUUUCUUGUCCUCCCUUUUGAGAAUCUGGGUUUUCUCCGCGAGAGAACCCCCCAGUGUACUUAAAUGCAGCCUCAAACGCUUCCCAUUUUGCUGUUCGCCUUUCUCAUUGUGUUCCCCUUGGCAAGACCAGAUCUGGGUUCGGACCGAUCUUCACUCUUGGCACUCCGGUCUGCAGUCGGUGGUCGAACCCUUUUCUGGAAUGCUACCGAGCUGAGCCCGUGCGGUUGGGCUGGAGUCAAAUGCGAGGACAACCGCGUCACUAUGCUCCGUCUCCCCGGAGUGGCCCUCUCUGGCCAACUCCCCUCUGGCAUAUUUGGCAACUUGACCCGGCUGCGCACUCUCAGUCUGCGAGUUAACGCUCUUACGGGCCAACUACCUUCUGAUCUCGCUUCCUGUGUGAACCUUCGCAACCUCUACUUGCAAGGUAACCUUCUUUCCGGUGAAAUCCCCGACUUCUUGUUCACUCUUCGGGACCUCGUUCGGCUCAACCUUGCUUCCAACAAUUUUUCUGGGGGGAUCUCUUCGGGUUUCAACAAUCUGACUAGGUUGAGGACGUUGUUCCUCGAGAACAACCAACUCACCGGGCCGAUUCCGCCUGAGUUAGACUUCCCAAAACUUGAACAGUUCAAUGUGUCCAACAAUUUGCUCAGUGGGCCAGUCCCAGAGAAACUGCAGUCUUUUCAGGUGGACUCGUUUCUGGGGAAUUCACUCUGUGGGCGUCCCUUUGAAACGUGUUCUGGAAAUGCGACCCUUCCGAGCGAAAACAACAAAAACAAUGGCGGAAAGAAGUUGUCUGGCGGUGCAAUUGCUGGUAUUGCGAUUGGGUCUGUUUUGGCUUUCCUGCUUAUCCUUGUAAUCCUGUUGGUGUUGUGCCGGAAGAAGACGAGCGCGGUCGACAUUGCGACGGUGAAGCAUCCGGAUGUGGAGAUUCCGGGCGAGAAACCAGAAGGGGAUGUCGAGAACGGCGAGUAUGGAAAUGGGUACUCGGUGGCAGCAGCUGCGGCGGCGGCGAUGACUGGCAAUGGGAGGGCAGAAGCAAACGGUGGUGGCGUAGGGGCUAAGAAGUUAGUAUUUUUUGGGAAUGCGGCGAGGGUGUUUGAUUUGGAGGAUUUGUUGAGGGCGUCGGCGGAGGUUUUGGGGAAGGGGACUUUCGGGACGGCGUACAAGGCGGUUUUGGAGAUGGGGACGGUGGUGGCGGUGAAGAGGUUGAAGGAUGUGACAAUUUCGGAGAGGGAGUUCAGGGAGAAGAUUGAGGCAGUGGGAGCAAUGGAUCAUGAGAAUUUGGUCCCUCUCAGGGCUUAUUAUUAUAGCAGGGAUGAGAAGCUGCUUGUGCAUGAUUACAUGACCAUGGGAAGCUUGUCUGCGCUCUUGCAUGGAAACAAGGGAGCAGGUAGAACUCCAUUGAAUUGGGAUAUUAGGUCUGCCAUUGCCCUCGGAGCUGCUCGUGGCAUUAAAUAUCUUCACUCUCAAGGCCCCAGUGUCUCUCAUGGAAACAUAAAAUCAUCCAACAUCCUCCUCACCAAUUCCUAUGAUGCCCGAGUUUCUGAUUUUGGCUUAGCACACCUUGUCGGUCCCUCCUCCACUCCCAACCGAGUUGCUGGCUACCGAGCCCCUGAGGUCACUGACCCUCGGAAGGUAUCCCAGAAGGCAGACGUCUAUAGUUUCGGUGUAUUGCUCUUGGAACUGCUAACUGGGAAAGCCCCCACUCAUGCCCUUUUGAACGAGGAAGGGGUUGACCUUCCAAGAUGGGUGCAGUCCAUUGUUAGAGAAGAGUGGACUUCUGAGGUCUUUGAUCUUGAGCUCCUCCGGUACCAGAAUGUCGAGGAGGAGAUGGUUCAACUCUUGCAGCUAGCAGUAGAUUGUGCUGCCCAAUAUCCUGAUAAACGCCCUUCAAUGUAUGAAGUGGCAAAGCGGAUUGAAGAGCUACGUCGUUCUAGCUUGCGAGACAAUCACAACCCAGAAUUCGAUCACAUCAAAUGAUUCAGAUGAUGUGACUUUCUCGGUGAGUUCUUCAGUGCAUGCCACCAUCCUUCCUAAUGGAUUGUAGAAGGCUUUUCACUUCUUUGUUAUGCCAUAUAUUGCGUGUUAAUUUUUGUGUUUUGGUUGUAUGUUUAAUCCGGGCCUCAGCUUCUUUCCAUAGGAGCCAACUGUCAAUUUUAUUUUAAUUUCCUUUUUAAUUUUUUUUUUCACUUCUCCCAUUUCCCAUUGUACUUGCAUGUAUUUUUUUUUUUUCCUUUUUUCAUUAAUAAUUUGGGGUGGAUAUCUGUUAGAUUAGAUAUUGUUGGUAAUGGUGGUUGUAAUUAUUACUUUUUGCUUUUACUUUUGCUUUGGCUUUUUGGUGCAACUUUUAGCCCUCUGAAGUUGAGAUGUUGUAGUUGCUUUUA